ACACGACUACAUUAGAUACCCCGGUAGUCCCAGCCCUAAACGAUGCGCGUUAGGUGUAUCGGUGACCACGAGUCACCGAGGUGCCGAAGGGAAACCGUGAAACGUGCCGCCUGGGAAGUACGGUCGCAAGGCUGAAACUUAAAGGAAUUGGCGGGGAGCACCACAACGGGUGGAGCCUGCGGUUUAAUUGGACUCAACGCCGGGAAGCUCACCGGAUAAGACAGCGGAAUGAUUGCCGGGCUGAAGACUCUGCAUGACUAGCUG
rnacentral:rRNA from 1 species